ACCCACUUGUAGAUGGGUGUAUCAAAAUCGAUAGGUGUGGCGUCCUUUUUCUUGUUUGCUGUCGUUUGUUUGACCCACCACCAUCCCCAACAAAGAACAAGAGAUCGAUUAAAGGGAGGAAAUCAAGCCUCCAAUGGGGGACAAAAGUUGAAGUGGAAAGUUUUUUAUAAGAAGAGAAGACAGUGAGCUCCGGACCCGCAGCCCCUGGGUCCAACCCGAAGUUGGCAAAAUAAAUGAUAAUGGGACCACGUUUUAAUAGCUGCUAAAUUACCAUCCGUUGAAGGGCUUUUCCGAACACCACCAGGACCGAUCUAAUUAUUGUUUUUUACAAAUUUACCCCUUCACUACAAACUAGUAUUUAUUUUAUUAUAACUUGGUUUUGAAUGGUCAAUAUCAUCACGUUGCGCCAUGGAGGGGUCGUUUCUCGCAAUCUUUGGAAGAAAAUGUACAAAAAAAUUAUAGAUAAAUCAAGGAGAAUUUUACUUGUUCAA